ACCCCAGGAUUGUCGUUUCCGCUCCGUGCGCCGGAGAUCAAGGCGGAGGUUUUCAGCAGCAAUUUAGUUGCCCGGGACGACAAAAAAGACCAGUGAGGUGAGUGAAUAGCCACGUGAAAUGCUAACCUAAAAAUCAACAAAGGGCUAAGGUGUGUUUCGAUCUCCAUACAGUUCACACGACGACACGACGCCUCGAGGAAGAAGAAAGGAACAAUCGCACCAUUCGAGCACGUGCCAGUGGUUCCUAAACGCCCCUCUGUUGUUUUGACACGCCAACAAAGGAAACCAUCUCUUCGUCGAAAAAAAGGCCCCUUCACAGGGGUCUUUUCGGCGGAUCUUAUUCCGUAGAUUUGGUCCUUUUGUUUGGCAGGUGGUGAUCGUCCGCUCGUUGGGGAUUAGGAGGAAGGUGGAUUGCGGUUCAAGCCAGGAAGUCACGCCAGGGCUCGCGUUGACCGUUGACGCCGAAAGACAGUGUGCGUAGAAAGCAUUGAUGCUUAGUAUACCUGCGAACUCAGCGAGGGAGUGAAGCGUGGUCUGCUAGGUGGCCAGUACGAUCGACGCGGGAGUCGGAGGCAAAGCUCGGAGACUAGAAGCUGGCAAGGCUGGCGUGGUAGUGUGUGGGCGCGAAGCGGAUUCAGAGCCAGCAUGCAGGAAGAAUGUGGCGUACGGCGGCGGCAUAGAUCGCGAAGCAGCGUAUUCUUAAUACAGUAAGACGGGCCCGUCCGUGAGUAAAACUAGUUUUAGUAUGAAAAAUAGCCAUUAGAAAACAGCGUAGGAUUAUUAGCCAAGAGCUAAGAAGAGAACCAAGUUCGGAUGAACAAUAA